AUUAACAAAAAGAAAAUGAAACAUAAAGGCCAAUUGGCCCAAACCAAAAUCCCCAAAACGGCAAAACCUAAUAAAAACCCUUUAAACUCACUUUUCGUCCUUCCCAGCCGCCUCCCCAUGCGUUCCCUUCCCAACCGCCUUCCCUUUUCCUCCCUUUUCCCAUUUCCUUCUUCAACAUCACUUUCUCUAUUCACAUGUACAGAGCAAACCAAUGGAAUCACCGGCUAGAUAGUCUGGCAUCUUCUGUCUUUCCAAGUAUGUUUAUGUAUUUAUAUUUAGAAUUUUUCAAUUCCAUACACCUACUUGAUUUGAAUUUUUGGAUUUAUAUUCUAACAAUUUGAUAUAUAUAUAUAUAUAUAUAAUGCAGUAUUAUGAUAGGUAUUGAGUGGAACCUUAAAGAUUAUAAUGCAAUGUUGGGAAGAGCCACUCGAAAAGACAUUACAAAUAAAAAUUAGAUGAAAAUCUUUUCAAAAGUUUUUAGAAAAGUAUACAGGUUUAUUUUCUUAUCUUGUUGCAUUGAAUUUUUCCCUUUUGUUAUACGUUAUCAUUGAAAAGUAUACAGCUAAUUUUUGUUUCUUUUGAAUUUAUAUGGUACAUUUUAAUCUAUUGAAUGCAAGAAGAUCAAGGAUUAGUCUUGAUACAAAGAGUGAAAUUACUUCAUCCGUGAUGGCAGAAGAUCAUUUGGUGACAACAUCUUCAAUCCCAGAUUAAAUACUUAUAACUUAGUUCUGUUUUGAUGUGGAACCCUUCAGAAUUUUAUAUAAUAUAGUUUACUUUUGAUAGAUAAUUGUAUAUUUUAGAAUUAAUUUUUGAAAUUUUUGGAUGUAAAUUCGU
rnacentral:lncRNA from 1 species